UUUUUUUUAACCAUAUAUAUCCUCUAAUAUUUUCCUUUGUUGAUCAAUUUUUUUUCCUGCUUUCACUAGUUUAAUCUGGUCCGGGGUCAGUUCUGUUAUCAAGUGGUUCUAACCCCUUCCCGAUCGUAGUUGUGGGGAUCAACUAUAUUUCAAAAAUCCUUAUACCGUAGAAUUAGUCAUAAUAUGUAUAUUAUGAAGAAGACUAUUUUACUUUGGUUGUUGGCUUUUAUUUUUUCAACUCCACAAUUAAUUCGAAAAAAUAUACAGACGUAUGGCUGAGGGGAGGAGAGAAAGAACACAUGCAUGAGGAUUCUGUCGGAGGUUCGAUACUAUGAUAGAACAUCAUAGCCUAAGGAAGAAUGAAAGGAAAUCCAAUAUUGAGAGAAGUGUCGAUCAACCGUUCACAGGUCAUUCUUUAUACUACAAAAUUU
rnacentral:lncRNA from 1 species